rnacentral:rRNA from 1 species
ACACUUAUCGAGGAUCUAUUGGAGGGCAAGUCUGGUGCCAGCAGCCGCGGUAAUUCCAGCUCCAAUAGCGUAUAUUAAAGUUGUUGCAGUUAAAAAGCUCGUAGUUGGACUUGGGAGUUUCGGAUGGGGCGUACCGAAAGGUACGUAUACCUACUCUGAGGCUCUUCCUUUCAGGGUACUUGUGUGUGCUUAACCGCACGGGCAAGGAACUUGGAUUAUUUACUUUGAGAAAAUUAUGGUGUUCAAAGCAGGCUUUUGCCUUGAGUAUAUUAGCAUGGAAUAAUGGAAUAGGACAUUGGUUUUUCUAUUUUGUUGGUUUCUAGGACCGAUGUAAUGAUUAAUAGGGAUAGUUGGGGGCAUUAAUAUUUGAUUGCUAGAGGUGAAAUUCUUGGAUUUAUCAAAGAUUAACUUUUGCGAAAGCAUCUGCCAAGGAUGUUUUCAUUAAUCAAGAACGAAAGUUAGGGGAUCGAAGACGAUCAGAUACCGUCGUAGUCUUAACCAUAAACUAUGCCGACUAGGGAUUGGUGGAAUGUUUUAAAACGCCAUCAGCACCUUUCGAGAAAUCAAAGUUUUUGGGUUCCGGGGGGAGUAUGGUCGCAAGGCUGAAACUUAAAGGAAUUGACGGAAGGGCACCACCAGGAGUGGAGCUUGCGGCUUAAUUUGACCAACACGGGAAAACUCACCAGGUCCAGACAUAUGAAGGAUUGACAGAUUGAGAGCUCUUUCUUGAUUCUAUGGGUGGUGGUGCAUGGCCGUUCUUAGUUGGUGGAGUGAUCUGUCUGGUUAAUUCCGAUAACGAACGAGACCUUAACCUACUAAAUAGUUAUUUGAAUCACUGAUUCAAAGAAUACUUCUUAGAGGGACUAGCUGCAUCCAGCAGCUGGAAGUUUGAGGCAAUAACAGGUCUGUGAUGCCCUUAGAUGUCCUGGGCCGCACGCGUGCUACACUGACGAAUUCAAGGAGUUGCAUACCUUUGUCGAAAGGCAAUUUGGGUAAUCUUUGAAAUUUCGUCGUGCUGGGGAUAGAUUAUUGCAAUUGUUAAUCUUGAACGAGGAAUUCCUAGUAAGUGCGACUCAACAAGUCGCGUUGAUUACGUCCCUGCCCUUUGUACACACCGCCCGUCGCUCCUACCGAUGGAUGGUCAGGUGAGCUCCGCGGACGGGAACUCGUGAUGCCGAAAGGUUGAUGAGCAUUCUGGAAGUGGAGCAAACCUUAUUAUCUAGAGGAAGGAAAAGU